ACUUUCUGUAGCACUGUUGUCCACGGAGAGAAUCAUUCUGAACUUGGGCCAUUAGUGUUGUGGGGGUUCGGGCUAACGUGCCCGGAACUGACUAGCUAAGGUCUAAGGGGACACAUACUUCGUCCCCACUCUGCAGCGCACGCAAAGGGGCGCCGUGGUGGGUUUGCUGACUCACCGGCAAUGCGUAGAGACCACUCCAGCCGUAGUACAAACGAAUGGGGAUUUAUCCCCGGUAAUGUACAAAAUGCGCUUGCAAUACAGGGGUUACGGCACUAGGGUGGCAGUCACAGACUACGGGUGAAAGCUCCAAAAAAAGUUUCCGAGGUGCUCCUGGAAAGCUCCCAGAAAGCUCCCGGGCAGAGCGGACUUCCCAGGAGAUUUCACCCGUAGUCUGCUCUGCCACACAGGCUCUUCCGAGCUAGGUUCGCCACACAAAGGCGGCUGGCUGCCUUUGCUCAGAGGGGAUGUGGGACCAAGUGGGUCCGCACGUCCAACAGCCAGGAGCACCAAAGGUGAAUCUGCCGGUCGAAGGCGCCCGCGUGCCCGUGUACCUCAGAUGCUGAAGAAGAGAGAUGCCAAAGAGAGGGCGAAAGGGUCCACUCCUCAGGCACUGUUAGUACACGCGGUGCACGGCGUAACGUGAGCUGCGCAAGCAAGCAGCAUGCUCCGCGCAGUGCCGGCAGCCAUGGGGAAUGUACGCCAUCCACAAUAAGGCUGGAAUGGCAUGUCCCCAGCAUUCACACGGGCAAAUGGCCCAAGUGGCGCGUGAAACGGAGAAGGGGGUCCAAGGGGUCCCCACAGUGUUGCUGUGGCAAUUAGGUGAAAGAAAACAAAUGUAGAAAUUGCAAGUAAACUUUUUUGAAGUGUUUUGUUUGUUUGUUUGUUUGUUUGUUUGUUUGUUUGAGUAGUCCUAAGAGUGGAUGCUUGGACUUGUUGGUACUGCAUUGCAAAAACUAAUAGUGUGAGACACCGAGACGGAACUAAACACUGGCACUCUUGGGGAGAGCACUGUGGUGUUUAGCUCUGUUGCUGUGUCUCUGUGUUUUUUUUUUUUUUUUUUCACACUAUUGACUUUCGGGGAAUCCUACUUUUGUCAGACUGGAAAGAAGUGGCUGCAGCUUGUCUCUACAGACAACUUCUGUUUAAAUGGGAUUGUUUAUUUCAGCUUUCUUCUUGAUUCAGCCACAUUCAAAAGUCAAGGAGUGCAUACUUUCCUGUGUAAACAUUGUUAAUGUGAAGUAUUCUUUAGAUACUCUAAAGAAGAAGAGGUCUCAAACCCUUCUUUUUUAACUCAAAACUCAGAGCGCAUGCAGCACAACGUGCUCUAGUAGAAGUCCCGCAUCUGGCAUCAAAGUCUGGCGUCUCUUGAGCACAGCACACACAGCGCACACAUUGUGUGGAACACUUAAAUAGUAAAACGCAAGAGACUCAAGGCAUCAAUGCAUCAAUCGCACCAAGCAGUGCGCUCACAUAGAAGCGUUCACAGGCAAUCUUGUGGUGUAAAUCCGAGUGGUGGGGAGACAAGACUACCAGAGGUGCCUAGGCAGACCUCCGAAAAAGUGGAAAGCCAAAAGAGAACAUCAGCGCUACGCAGCAAAAAACGUCUGGCAUCAGCAUCGGGCAACAAUGUCCGCGUUGACACCUCAAAAGCUUUGCGUUCUCAUGGUUUCAGCACAGGCAUUGGACCUGUGCAAAUUUUUUAAUCUGGAGUAAUUGUUUACAUUAGGGCAAGCAUUGAAUCAGUGGAUAGUGACUCUAUUUCGUCUUGCUCAAGCCGACACACACGGAAGCUGCAGCUGAUAGUCCAUUUCAGGACCCGAAGCACCUUAUGUUCAUGAGCAACAAGCCAUUCAGCAGGAGUGACACUUUCUAUCCAACCCAUUUGGCAGUCUCGCUGGUGUAUCAAUUUGUGAUAUUUUAGGCAAGCUGAGCAUCAUAGCACAUGGCAAGAUGGUACUGUUUGCAGUAUUGCUCACAUUACAUAGUCCAACCACACUUCACACAAGACCUUCUUGAUAUGGUCCUCAAUGUGGAGACUUUCGAGCGAAGUUGCAUUUUAUGUACUCAUUGUCCACAUAAAAUGCAACCUCACUCAUAAGUUAAUGUGUUUGUAUAUGCAUUGAGCACAUAGUAAUCAUGAAAUAUCCACCACCCAACUUUCUAUGACUUGCAGCUUGCGGCACGCCUGCAUCACCUUGUAUGUGUGAAUGAUGUCUCGUACUGACGUAAUGUGUUCAACAUCACAUACAGAAAUAAGACAUUGCAGCUGAAACAAAGGCACCUUGUGUUGGUGUUGCCAAUUCCAGUGCGCAAGAGCACCACUGCAUAAUCUUAUUCACUCAAGUAUGAAAUUAUAGUUAAGCUGUCUCCUUAAUCAUCAAACAAGAAGCUACAUCUUAAGCAGAAACAGUGCAAAAUAACAUGACUGUCCUUUUCUCACAUACGGUUAUUUUGGGCUGUUUCCGCUCAAGUCAUGAACCAACCAGCCCAAAUGAGUAUGCUUCUAAGUUGCAUCUACCAGCCUGUGGUUACUGCUAGAUUUUCUGUUGUUUUUUAACAAUUGUAAAUGCUGCACCUCGGGGCAUUGUCCUUUUUAGUGAACAUUCUCACUUGGAUCUUUCAGCUUCACUAAUGUGUUGGCACUUAAUUUUUGAAAAGCUGUAUUCGUCGAGCAUGUUGCUUUUGAGAUGUAGAAAAUUCAAGAAAAAAAGAUUCAUAAAGCUCAUUUGAUCUCGUGCAAUGCUAGAAUAGGGGAAGCACAUAUCUGCAUUCUUUUGCAUUUGAUGUCCUUGCCCAUUGUUUAAUGAUUCCAUCCUUUGCUUUUGUUUCACCCAUGGCUUUAGCAAGAGGACAAAGUACUUUGACAACAUGUUGAUGUUCCUGAACUCCACGCAUGCCAAGGUGUUCUUCUCAGAAUCUCAAG